GGUGUCAGAAGUGGGAUCGUUUGAAGCUCCGUCGGGACUCCGAGGACGUCCGGGAAGGGGCCACUUCAGGAUCCACCAAACGUGAUUCUGCCCUAUACCUCAUCACACUCAGAGAGAGGGGACCGGCGACCAAAAGAGACCUGAUUGGCUUCAACACGAUCCGAUGAGGAAGAUUUUCACACGAAUCGGUCUCACAGGGGCUGGCGGCCCUCUCCUCAACACAUGCCCACCACCGUACCCUGCUUCAUCUGCGAACCAGCAACCUCCGUCUGCAGGAGCACAUAUCAAAGUUCACUACACCCGGCAGAGGGAGGAAAAGGAAGCGGCAGUGAAAGCAGCACAGGAACGACUCCUCGGCGAAGAGGAGGAAAAGAGACAGGCUGCUCUCCUCACUCGAUCUCGCUCUCCAGGAGCAACCGGAGGGGACACUUCUGCCAUCAACAAACUGAUUGCAGAGCAACCAUCUACAUCAGAUGUUUUUUCCCCCUCUUUCACCCCUGAGGGAGUUCCCCCGGAUGCAAAAUCUGUGCUCCAAACCCCAAUGAUUCAAGUACCAGGACACUCAGGUCCCAUACUUGUUUUCCGGCCUUGGACUGAUACGGACAUUAGAGCUGCAAUGGCUCAUCUCCCGCCGAUACAGCACUCGGGAAGACUGUUUGCUGAAGCAUUCAUGGACUUCUGUAAGCAAUUCCUGCCCAACUUUGCUGAAAUUCGACGUGUUCUAAUGAGUCACGUGGGUCCGACUCACUACCAGAAGCUCAACCAGCUGGUUGCAGGAGACACCAGUGCGGCAGACGUUGAAUGGAGUUCAAAUCAAAAUAAGCCGUACAGAGACGCACUCACGGCUUUGAACGACGGCAUAAAGACAUUGUUCCCUGACAAAGUGGAUAUGACUCCCAUCAACAAUACCAAGCAGGCAGCGGGUGAGUCCGUCCAUGAUUACUACCAAAGACUUCUCACAGUGUUUAAUCUUAACAGUGGCAUUCCACAACCCGCCGCGUUAGGAGACGCUCUGGGGACGUGGGAAUCACACCUGAAGAAUGCUUUCAUGAAUGGACUAUUACCCGACAUAAAAAUGAAUGUGCAGCGCUCUGUGGCUGGAAUGGAAGACUCGCGACUCGCGGAUGUAAAGAAACAUGCUGCGCAUGCGCAAUCCAUGGACAUAGAGAGAACUGACCACGAGGGGAAAAGGCGCUCACGUCAGAUUGAACUCGCCCAA
ensembl:lncRNA